CCCAAGCCCAGAUAGCAGUCGAAACAGGGUUGCAACGAAUAACGGGAAAAGCU
rnacentral:misc_RNA from 1 species